UGAUCCGCAACAUAGGUUUGGCUUAUUUUACGCCGAAUGCCAUCCUGCCGCAACCCUCCCAUUUUAUCUGGCUUGGGACUGGCACUGACCUGCACUUGCUUGUGCUCCCAGUGGCUGGGGGUUGCCUGUGAGCAAUCGAGAUGAAGAUCCUUUCCGCGCCGGACGCCGACUACUGAGGACCUCCCUUCAAAAUACGACGAUUUGGUGGACAAACUGCCAUCUUACGAGGAAGCAAUUUUCACGAUACAAAAGAAUCCCUCCGUCGACGCGGGCCGCAAGAACCUCGCUUUUGACCCUCAUGAGGAGACAUCGAAGCGGCAUCGCGUGGAAACCCAGCCGAUCAGAGAGAGAAUUAAUUCAGUCCCUGUGCAACCGUAUCAAGCGCAAACCUAUGUUAAAUAUCCCCUAUCCGAUGCAGGGAGAUUGGCUAAUCCGACGUGAAAUAUUCCCAAUCUGAUGCAGGGGGAUUGGCUAAUCCUCCACCGCAUCAUACAGAAUCUGACGUUAGAUUUUCCCAAUCCGAUGCAGGGGAAUUGGUUAAUCCUCCUCCUGGAUUUGGUGUGGAUAAUGAGCUAAUCAGUAUAUCACCAUCAGCACGAUCUCACUCGACCCGACGUCCCGAUGAAACUCCAAUCCGGGAAUUACUCGUUAAGCACACACAUUCUUGAAAUGUUUAUUAUUAUUAUUAUUAUUAUUAUUAUUAUUAUUAUUAUUAUUAUUAUUGUUGUUAUUGUCAUUAUUAUACCACUCAUAAAUCUCUUUUUUAUUCAUUUAUUCAUAAAUUCUCGAUCAUUUCACACGUGAUACAGUGCACGAACAUAUUCCCAUUCCUAUCAUUAAAUUAUAUUGCCACUGUACAUAGAGGUUUCAUAAUUACUCUGCGUAGGUUAGGGGAAGGAAAAGGAUAAUAGAUAUUAUGGAAAGCAAUUCAGCGAUAUAUACACCAAUAAGUAUUCCUAUUUUUAUACAAAAAAAUGUUUUUUAUAAUAAACGAUACAAUCAAAGAGAUACUUGCGAGAAUUACUUAACCAUAUAGCAUAUGCUACAUAAAGAGGGAGGAAGGGAGAGAGGAGAGAGAGAGAAAUAUUUGAUUUGAUAAAAAUAAAAAAAUCUAUUUACAGAGCAGUGUACAUGUCCUGCAAAAAGCUAUCUAAACUGGCUAUGCCUCUAUUUAUGUAGACGGCUGCCAAUCAGACACUGGCUGUAUAU